GCCCGGGUAGCUCAAUUGGUUAGAGCUUUCGACUUUUAAUCGAAGGGUUGCGAGAUCGAGACUCGCCUCGGGCG
rnacentral:tRNA from 1 species